rnacentral:lncRNA from 1 species
UAAAGAUAUUUAAAUAAUGAAUUUUGUCAUAUGUCACAAAAUAAUACAAAUUUUAAAUAUGUAUUAUUUAUGGAAAAACAAUCAAGUGCUCUAAUCAGAGCACUAUUGAAUAACAAGAGGCUCUCAAGAGCCUGAAUCGCUCACCUGGUAAACAAUGCCUUAUUGAACAUAUUGAACCAUGCUAGGCAAACAUGUACAGCUAACAAUUCUUCAAUAUUACAAAUAUAUAUGACUUACUGUUUAUAAAUAAAGAAAAUGAGACCAAAACACAAACACUUAAAACUUACCAAUGGACUGUGAAAAUGAGGUCAAGUUCAAAUAAAACCUGUGUAACCGACAUAUAGAUCAUAAAAUAUUUUCAUACACCAAAUAUAGUUGACCUAAUGCAUAAAGUAUUAAAAAAAUAGACCAAAACUAAAAAAGUUAACUUUGACCACUGAAUUAUGAAAAUGAGGUCAAGGUUAGAUGACACCUGUCAGCUAGACAUGUACACCUUACAAUCAUUCUAUACACCAAUUUUAGUAGACCUAUUGCAUAUAGUAUAAGAAAAACAGACCAAAACACAAAAACUUAACUAUAACCACUGAACCAUGAAAAGAAAUGCUUUCGUUUUUGAGAUAUAAGCCAAAAACUGCAUUUGACCCCUAUGUUCUAUUUAAAGUAAGGGCGGCCAUGUUUUUUGACGGAUCAAAAAUCGAAGCACACACUUUGUGCAGGAUAAUCUAAGGAACUAUCAUGCUAAGUUUCAUCUAAAUCCAUUCAGUAGUUUCAGAGAAGAUUUUUUAAAGUUAGCAAAUAUGAUGAACAAAUUGUGAAAAAUUGUCAUUAAAGGACAUUUACCCCUUAAGGGGUCAAUUGACAAUUUUGGUCAUAUUAACCUAUUUGUAGAUCUUACUUUGCUGAUCAUUUUUGCUGUUUACAGUUUAU